UACGUAGGUGGCAAGCGUUAUCCGGAAUUACUGGGUGUAAAGGGAGCGCAGGCGGGAGAGCAGGUCAGCGGUGAAAUGUAUGGGCUUAACCCAUGAACUGCCGUUGAAACUGUUUUUCUUGAGUGGAGUAGAGGCAAGCGGAAUUCCGAGUGUAGCGGUGAAAUGCGUAGAUAUUCGGAGGAACACCAGUGGCGAAGGCGGCUUGCUGGGCUCUAACUGACGCUGAGACUCGAAAGUGUGGGGAGCAAAC
rnacentral:rRNA from 1 species